rnacentral:rRNA from 1 species
CUGCUGCCUCCCGUAGGAGUCUGGACCGUGUCUCAGUUCCAGUGUGGGGGGCCUUCCUCUCAGAACCCCUACGCAUCGUCGCCACGGUGGGCCGUUACCCCGCCGUCAAGCUAAUGCGCCGCAUGCCCAGCCGCCACCGGAUUCCUCCUUUCGCCCGGACCGGAUGCCCGGUCCGGGCGGCAUGGGGUAUUAGGCCGGGUUUCCCCGGGUUAUCCCCCUGUGGCGGGCAGGUUCCAUACGUGUUACUCACCCGUGCGCCGGUCGCCGGCAGGUGCAGG